GAUGAACGCUGGCGGCGUGCCUAAUACAUGCAAGUCGAACGAAACUUCUUUAUCACCGAGUGCUUGCACUCACCGAUAAAGAGUUGAGUGGCGAACGGGUGAGUAACACGUGGGCAACCUGCCCAAAAGAGGGGGAUAACACUUGGAAACAGGUGCUAAUACCGCAUAACCAUAGUUACCGCAUGGUAACUAUGUAAAAGGUGGCUAUACUACCGCUUUUGGAUGGGCCCGCGGCGCAUUAGCUAGUUGGUAGGGUAAAGGCUUACCAAGGCAAUGAUGCGUAGCCGAAUUGAGAGGUUGAUCGGCCACAUUGGGACUGAGACACGGCCCAAACUCCUACGGGAGGCAGCAGUAGGGAAUCUUCCACAAUGGGCGAAAGCCUGAUGGAGCAACGCCGCGUAGGUGAAGAAGGUCUUCGGAUCGUAAAACCCUGUUGUUAGAGAAGAAAGUGCGUGAGAGUAACUGUUCACGUUUCGACGGUAUCUAACCAGAAAGCCACGGCUAACUACGUG
rnacentral:rRNA from 1 species